rnacentral:rRNA from 1 species
UAGGGAAUUUUUUGCGCAAUGGGGCGAAAGCCUGACGCAGCAACGCCGCGUGAAUGAUGAAGCCCUUCGGGGUGUAAAGUUCUGUCAGUAGGGACGAAACUUGACGGUACCUACAGAGGAAGCACCGGCUAACUCCGUGCCAGCAGCCGCGGUAAUACGGAGGGUGCAAGCGUUGUCCGGAAUCAUUGGGCGUAAAGCGUUCGUAGGCGGUACAUCAAGUCUGGUGUUAAAGACCGGGGCUCAACUCCGGCACGGCAUUGGAUACUGAUGAACUGGAAUGCGGUAGAGGUAAAGGGAAUUCCUGGUGGAGCGGUGAAAUGCUAAGAUAUCAGGAGGAACAUCGGUGGCGAAAGCGCUUUACCGGGCCGUUAUUGACGCUGAGGAACGAAAGCCGGGGGAGCAAAU